rnacentral:snRNA from 1 species
GUGCUCACUUCUGCAGUACAUAUACUAAAAUUGGAAUGAUACAGAGAAGAUUAGCACGGCCCUUGAGCAAGGAUGACACACAAAUUCGUGCAGCAUUCCAUAUUAAA